rnacentral:rRNA from 1 species
UACGUAGGGACCAAGCGUUGUUCGGAUUUACUGGGCGUAAAGGGCGCGUAGGCGGCAAUUCAAGUCAGUUGUGAAAUCUCCGAAGCUUAACUCGGAACGGUCAACUGAUACUGUUUGCUAGAGUACAGAAGGGGCAAUCGGAAUUCUUGGUGUAGCGGUGAAAAUGCGUAGAUAUCAAGAGGAACACCUGAGGUGAAGACGGGUUGCUGGGCUGAUACUGCGCUGAGGCGCGAAAGCUAGGGUAGCA